CCUACGGGGUGCAGCAGUGGGGAAUAUUGCGCAAUGGGGGAAACCCUGACGCAGCAACGCCGCGUGAGUGAUGAAGGCCUUAGGGUUGUAAAGCUCUGUCUUCUAGGACGAUAAUGACGGUACUAGAGGAGGAAGCCACGGCUAACUACGUGCCAGCAGCCGCGGUAAUACGUAGGUGGCGAGCGUUGUCCGGAUUUACUGGGCGUAAAGGGUGCGUAGGCGGAUGCUUAAGUCAGAUGUGAAAUACCCGAGCUUAACUUGGGUGCUGCAUUUGAAACUGGGCAUCUAGAGUACAGGAGAGGAAAGCGGAAUUCCUAGUGUAGCGGUGAAAUGCGUAGAGAUUAGGAAGAACACCAGUGGCGAAGGCGGCUUUCUGGACUGUAACUGACGCUGAGGCACGAAAGCGUGGGGAGCGAACAGGAUUAGAUACCCCCGUAGUC
rnacentral:rRNA from 1 species